rnacentral:rRNA from 1 species
AUGGGCGGGAGCCUGAACCAGCCAAGUCGCGUGAAGGAAGAAGGAUCUAUGGUUCGUAAACUUCUUUUGCAGGGGAAUAAAGUGCAGGACGUGUCCUGUUUUGUAUGUACCCUGAGAAUAAGGAUCGGCUAACUCCGUGCCAGCAGCCGCGGUAAUACGGAGGAUCCGAGCGUUAUCCGGAUUUAUUGGGUUUAAAGGGUGCGUAGGUGGUUUGAUAAGUCAGCGGUGAAAGUUUGCAGCUUAACUGUAAAAAUGCCGUUGAAACUGUCGGACUUGAGUGUAAAUGAGGUAGGCGGAAUGCGUGGUGUAGCGGUGAAAUGCAUAGAUAUCACGCAGAACUCCGAUUGCGAAGGCAGCUUACUAAACUACAACUGACACUGAAGCACGAAAGCGUGGGGAUCAAACAGGAUUAGAUACCCUGGUAGUCCACGCAGUAAACGAUGAUUACUAGCUGUUUGCGAUACACAGUAAGCGGCACAGCGAAAGCGUUAAGUAAUCCACCU